rnacentral:rRNA from 1 species
AGUGAACGCUGGCGGUAGGCCUAACACAUGCGAGUCGAACGGCAGCACAGUAAGAGCUUGCUCUUACGGGUGGCGAGUGGCGGACGGGUGAGGAAUACAUCGGAAUCUACUUUUUCGUGGGGGAUAACGUAGGGAAACUUACGCUAAUACCGCAUACGACCUACGGGUGAAAGCAGGGGAUCUUCGGACCUUGCGCGAUUGAAUGAGCCGAUGUCGGAUUAGCUAGUUGGCGGGGUAAAGGCCCACCAAGGCGACGAUCCGUAGCUGGUCUGAGAGGAUGAUCAGCCACACUGGAACUGAGACACGGUCCAGACUCCUACGGGAGGCAGCAGUGGGGAAUAUUGGACAAUGGGCGCAAGCCUGAUCCAGCCAUACCGCGUGGGUGAAGAAGGCCUUCGGGUUGUAAAGCCCUUUUGUUGGGAAAGAAAAGCAGCAGGUUAAUACCCCGCUGUUUUGACGGUACCCAAAGAAUAAGCACCGGCUAACUUCGUG